rnacentral:rRNA from 1 species
ACUUACGGCCAUACCAGCCUGAAUACGCUCAAUCUUGUCUGAUCUUGGAAGCUAAGCAGGGUCGGGCCUGGUUAGUACUUGGAUGGGAGACUCCCUGGGAAUACCAGGUGCUGUAAGUG